GACGAACGCUGGCGGCGUGCUUAACACAUGCAAGUCGAACGGAAAGGCCCCUUUGGGGGUCCUCGAGUGGCGAACGGUUGAGUAACACGUGAGUAACCUGCCCUUUACUUCGGGAUAACUUCAGGAAACUGGGGCUAAUACCGGAUAGGAAUCCUUGCUGCAUGGUGGGGGUUGGAAAGCUUCGGCGGUUUUGGAUGGACUCUCGGCUUAUUAGCUUGUUGGUGGGGUAGUGGCUUACCAAGGCUUUGACGGGUAGCCGGCCUGAGAGGGCGACCGGCCACAUUGGGACUGAGAUACGGCCCAGACUCCUACGGGAGGCAGCAGUGGGGAAUAUUGCACAAGGGGCGGAAGCCUGAUGCAGCAACGCCGCGUGCGGGAUGACGGCCUUCGGGUUGUAAACCGCUUUCAGCAGGGGCGAAGCUUGUGGUGACGGUACCAGCAGAAGAAGCACCGGCUAACUACGU
rnacentral:rRNA from 1 species